AUACAUAGGUUAAAGAGGCGAACCCGGGGAACUGAAACAUCUAAGUACCCGGAGGAAAAGAAAUCAACCGAGAUUCCCCUAGUAGCGGCGAGCGAACGGGGAUUAGCCCUUAAGCGUAGAGGGUGUUAGUGGAAUGUGUUGGAAAGCACAGCGGCACAGGGUGAUAGCCCCGUACAUGAAAACUAACUUUACGUGAAAACGAGUAGGACGGGACACGUGACAUCUUGUCUGAACAUGGGGGGACCAUCCUCCAAGGCUAAAUACUCCUGACUGACCGAUAGUGAACCAGUACCGUGAGGGAAAGGCGAAAAGAACCCCUGUGAGGGGAGUGAAAUAGAACCUGAAACCGUAUACGUACAAGCAGUGGGAGCGGUUCUUGAGACCGUGACUGCGUACCUUUUGUAUAAUGGGUCAGC
rnacentral:rRNA from 1 species